rnacentral:tRNA from 1 species
GUUAUUUUGGCAGAUUAGUGCAAUAAAUUUAGAAUUUAUUUAUAUAGGAGUUCUAUAAGUAAUA